rnacentral:rRNA from 1 species
UCCUUGAUUGGUGGUAGAAGCGCUUCCGCAUUCAACACAUGCAUAUGCCCCUGUCCGUGGGGUUACUGUGAACAAAACAGCGUGUCCAAAGCAACCACAUGUCUGGCUGAAUGAUCUAGCAUGGAAUAACAAGGCAUCGACCACUGGAGUCAGCCUUUUUGUUGGUUUUACAUGACCCAGUUGGGCAAUGCAGGGCUUGUGCUUCAUUGAGGUUCUUAGUCAGCUCUACCGAACUGUCUUCCCUCAGUUGGACCUUGUUCCCUAUCGGGAUCAAUGGAAGCCAUCGGGGUGGUAUGUAUUCCGACGUGAGCGGUGAAAUGCUUAGACCGUUGGAAGACAAACGACAGCGAAGGCAUUCCGCCAGAAUGUUUUCAUUAAUCAAGAACGAGAGUGUGGGGAUCGAAGAUGAUCAGAUACCAUCGUAGUCCAUUACCGUAAACUAUGCCAACUCGGCAUUGGGAGUCUGUUCACUUUGAAGACUCUCCCAGCAUCAUCCCCCAAUAACGAGAAAUCCAAGUCUAUGGGUUCAGGGGGGAGUACAGUCGCAAGGCUGAAACUUAAAGGAAUUGACGGAGUGACACCACAAGGCGUGGAGUAUGCGGCUUAAUUUGACCCAACACGGGGAAGCUUACCAGGUCAGACACAGUAAGGAUUGACAGAUUGAGAGCUCUUUCUUGAUCCUAUGGAUGGUGGUGCAUGGCCGUUUCUGGUUCGUGGAGUGAUCUGUCUGCUUAAUUGCGAUAACGAACGAGAUCUCUACCUCUAAAUAGGCGCCGGUCUCGCAUGUAAGUAGGGAUGUGUUGGGGGCCUUCGUGUCCCCUCAUGUCCUGAGAGUGCCGGGAUCGCUUCUUAGACGGACUGUGCAUGUCUUUAAUGCACGGAAGAGGGAGUCAAUAGCAGGUCUGUGAUGCUCCUAGAUGUUCUGGGCUGCACGCGCACUACACUGGCACAGUAAACGAGUUGCACCUGCUUCGGCAGUCCUGCUUAGAAGUGAGCGUGGGAAAUCUUAGAAAACUGUGCCGUGCUGGGGAUAGAUGAUUGCGAUUAUUUGUCUUGAACGAGGAAUGCCUAGUAGAGGUACUUCAUCAGAGUACCUUGAUUGUGUCCCUGCCAUUUGUACACACCGCCCGUCGUUGCUACCGAUUGGCUGUAAAAUAGAGGCCUUAAGAGUCGCUUCCGCAAAGCUUUGCCUUUGAGGUUGUGACAAAUCUGGCCAAUAUUUCAUUGCUAGAGGAAGCAAAAGUCGUAACAAGG